rnacentral:rRNA from 1 species
GAUGAACGCUGGCGGCGUGCUUAACACGUGCAAGUCGAACGAAGCAUUUAAGACAGAUUACUUCGGUUUGAAGUCUUUUAUGACUGAGUGGCGGACGGGUGAGUAACGCGUGGGUAACCUGCCUCAUACAGGGGGAUAGCAGCUGGAAACGGCUGGUAAUACCGCAUAAGCGCACAGUACCACAUGGUACAGUGUGAAAAACUCCGGUGGUAUGAGAUGGACCCGCGUCUGAUUAGCUAGUUGGCGGGGUAACGGCCCACCAAGGCGACGAUCAGUAGCCGACCUGAGAGGGUGACCGGCCACAUUGGGACUGAGACACGGCCCAGACUCCUACGGGAGGCAGCAGUGGGGAAUAUUGCACAAUGGAGGAAACUCUGAUGCAGCGACGCCGCGUGAGUGAAGAAGUAGUUCGCUAUGUAAAGCUCUAUCAGCAGGGAAGAUAGUGACGGUACCUGACGAAGAAGCGCCGGCUAAAUACGUG